rnacentral:rRNA from 1 species
AUUGAACGCUGGCGGCAUGCUUUACACAUGCAAGUCGAACGGUAACAGGGAGCUUGCUCCUCUGACGAGUGGCGAACGGGUGAGUAAUGCGUCGGAACGUGCCGAGUAGUGGGGGAUAACGCAUCGAAAGGUGUGCUAAUACCGCAUACGUACUGAGGUAGAAAGCGGGGGACCGUAAGGCCUCGCGCGAUUGGAGCGGCCGAUGUCAGAUUAGGUAGUUGGGGGGGUAAAGGCUCACCAAGCCAACGAUCUGUAGCUGGUCUGAGAGGACGACCAGCCACACUGUGAGUGAGACACGGCCCAGACUCCUACGGGAGGCAGCGGUGGGGAAUUUUGGACAAUGGGCGCAAGCCUGAUCCAGCAAUGCCGCGUGCAGGAAGAAGGACUUCGGGUUGUAAACUGCUUUUGUACGGAACGAAACGGUCCUGGUUAAUACCCGGGGCUAAUGACGGUACCGUAAGAAUAAGCACCGGCUAACUACGUGCCAGCCGCCGCCGUAACAC